ACAUUAGGCUACGCAGCUCGCCUGUUCCUAGGUGGUUUCAGUCCUCUACUGUUCAAAGUCUGUCAAGAACCUCUUGUUCAUAAGUUCUCUCCCUUUAUAUAGAAGAGAAGUUCUCUUCUUUUAUGUGGAAGUGGUGUUGCUGAGUGAAAGGGCAUGAACAAUUGAGAUCUGAACCCACACAUCAAACUGUAGAGCCUCAUUUUGAGGUAGAAUUUCUUCUUUUCAUGAUGUUACCUGGUAAGGGGCAUGUCCCCAGCUUUUGGGAGGCGCAGACUGCAUGGGAACUGCUGAAAGGUCUAUGGGGACCCAUUGGGCGUACUAGGCCAGUGACGGCACGUAUGGGCCCCAAGGCCUUAAGGUGAGUGACAGCAAGUGGAAGGAGGGUGCAGAAUGUGGCACUGGGCUGGAAUGACUUAGUGGAGUGGGGUGAACAAUCUGCUCAUUCAGAACUGGCUUUGGGAUUGUGACAGGUCCUGAACAGCUUGGAGUACUAAGAAGAGCGCUGGACAUGAACUGGAAUAUGUGGGUUCAAAUCCCACCUUUUCACUGCCCAGCUCUGUGACCCUGAGCAAGUGACUCAACCUCUGUGAGCCCCGUGUCCUCUCUGUAAAAUGGAGGUAUGAAUGCCUGUGAGAACAGGAUAUGGGGAGGGUUCCUGUAUAACACUUCGCCCUGCCCAUCUGAAUAAAAGGCUGCAUUCACCCUUCCUAAGGAAGACCACUUUCCGAUGUUCCAGUCUGAAGACAAGGAAUGCAAAGCUCACGGAUGCCGAGGAAUUUAUCCAAGAUCACUGUGAUGGGAUGGGAACUUUGGUUUUCAGCCUUUAAAUACAUUGGUGCAGAAGUCCAAGAAAGAUGCUUGGAAAGACCUAGUGAGAUGAAGAUCUCACUAUGUUGCCUGGGCUGGUCUU
rnacentral:lncRNA from 1 species